AUGUUCAUUUCCAUGCUACUUGUGCUACUUGUUCCCCUAUACAUGUAUCUCAAGGCUAGCAGUAGAUCUAAGAACACAUCAGUGCUUCCCACAAACUGGCCAAUAUUGCACAUGUUCCCUUCCUUCAUGGUCAAUGUCUACAACUUGCAUGACUAUCUCACCUUGGUCCUCGCGGGAUUAGGCCACAACUUCAGGGCGCACGGCCCACCCGGGACCGGGAUGCGGUUCUUCGUCACUUGCGACCCUGCUAAUGUCCGGCACAUCUUCACGACCAACUACACCAACUUCCCCAAGAGCGUGCUCAGCAACCCGCGGAUGAUUGCCAGUACGGAGGCAUGCUGCCGCAACAAGGUGGAAAACAUCCUUCUCCCAUUGCUCGCCUACAUGGCGAGCACCGGCACUCCUUUUGACGUGCAAGAAUUGAUGUCGAGGUUUAUGUUUGACUUGGCUACUAUGUCUCUCUUUGGUGUGGAUCCUGGCCUCCUAUCAUUAGACAAACCACCCAUGGACGCUGUGGUUGCUCUGAACGCAGUCAUGGAGGUGGGAUUUUUCCAGCACACCAUGCCAACUUCUUGCUGGAAAUUAAUGAGGUGGCUAAACAUCGGUCGCGAAAGAAAGCUCUGCACAGCGCACAAAGUGCUACAAAGGUUCCUCGUGGAGAUGAUGGAGAGGAGGAAGAUGGAGAUGAUGGAGAGGAAGAUCAACACAUGUCAUGUUGGUAGUGACGACGAACAAGAUGGUGUGGAUAUUAUGUCUUCCUACCCAGACUAUGUUCACGAUGACUUGUCCUAUGCCAAGAACAUUGGCUACAUGCUUCCUGCAAGGGACACAAUUGGAACGACCCUGACAUGGAUUUUUUACAACCUCGCCCAGAACGCAAACAUUGUGUCAAUCAUCCGGAGUGAACUAUCACCCAUUGCAUCAUGCAAAGGAGCAUCCGGUGUGGAUGCCAUGAUGAUCUUUGAGCCGAACGAAAUCAAAUCUCUAGUCUAUCUGAGAGCCGUCUUGUACGAGACUCUUAGGUUGUACCCACCGACACCUUUCGAGCGCAAGACGGUGUCCGCCGAUGAUAUUAUGCCGAGUGGCCAUGAGGUGCACACCAGUGACACCAUCCUUAUUUCUCUCUACUCCCUGGGGAGAAUGGAGGGCGUGUGGGGUAAUGACUGUCUCGAGUAUAACCCAGAUAGGUGGCUCUUGGAAGAUGGAAACAAUCUGAGGUACGUACCAUCUCACAAGUUCUUGGCCUUCAACUUGGGCCCAAGGAUAUGCCUUGGGAAGGAAAUUGCGGUUAUGCAUAUGAAGACCAUCAUCGCCUCAGUGUUGUGGAACUUUGAUGUGGAGGUGAUGGAAGGGCAAAGCAUCCAGCCCAAGCCAUCUUGUAUACUGGAGAUGAAAAACGGGCUCAUAGUUAAGCUAAAGAAGCGAGAGAUGUAA
rnacentral:rRNA from 1 species